rnacentral:RNase_P_RNA from 1 species
UGUUUUUAGUCUUUGCCGUGAGGAAAGUCCGGGCUUCACAGGGCAGGAUGCCGGAUAACGUCCGGCGGAGGCGACUCCCGGGAAAGUGCAACAGAGAUAUACCGCCGCGCCGAAAGCGCGGUAAGGGUGAAAAGGCGGUGUAAGAGACCACCGGCCGGCCGGUAACGGACGGUGCUAUGCAAACCCCAUCCGAAGCAAGCUCAAACAGGAGGCAUAAGGCGGCCCGUCUGCCUCCGGGUAGAGCGCUUGAGCCGUCCGGCAACGGGCGGUCUAGACAGAUGAUCAUUCACGACAGAACCCGGCUUACAGCCUCUCUCC